ACGACGAACAUUCAUCAACACAUAGUACUUUUGUCAUAUUAUUGUACGUAGAACGAUCGCAAACAUUUAUUAUUAUUUUUUUCUUCGCAAACACAAUAAUAAACACUCAUGACCCGCCAAUUAUUAGUUUAAUUCGUAUAGCCGGAUUGUAUCGAACUGUCAAUUGCGCGAUAUAUAGUUACUAUAUAACGAGUAACGAGUAACAAUCGACGCCUUCUCAAUAAGUUAAACUAGCUAUUAUAUCGGGGCAAUCACUGGAAACGAUUAUCAGAGAGGCCACAUUACGGCCCUAAAAUAAUUCGAAAGAGAUCCCACGAGGAAACCCACCGUUGUUGGCCCGUCUUCUCGUCGAGAUGGUUAUCUCGUAUAAUGAGUUUGGCCAACGACUGUGUGCUGCGGCAAUUUGUCAUUUCAGACACGUUAUGGCAUACAAGGAUAAUCAACGCCAUCGAUUUUGAAAAUGUUGUCAUCGAUGGUCGGCGUACAGGUUAGGUUACCUACUAGCGCAUUAAAGGUAAAAUAAUUUUGGUCGGUAAAUUGAUGCACUCUGUAUGUACUGGCUAAUGUCAGUCAGCAUUUGACAUAAUUCCGCAAUCGAUUCGAUUAUACUUGUACCAGUUAUUAUAUAAUAAUUUUCUGUCGUAUUAUAUUUCCAUAAAGUCUAUUUGCUAAUUCGAAAUCUAAGUAGCACCUCUGUAAUUUAUAAAUUCACACAUUUAAAGUUUACAUGAUGUAGUUUUAUUUAAUUUAAUAAAUACAUUUAAUUUAA